CACCCUUCUUUUCAAUGGACAUGUUCAAGUUGUCAGAGAUAAAACAGGAGGAAGAUUUCCUAUAAAUGGAACCAACAUUAGCAUUGGAACUAGCACCAGCAGCUGCAGAAAGAGAUUGAUAGCCCUGUAAUUCCUAUCUGGAUGUCAAGAUUAAGGCCAUGAAAUGAAGGGUCUUGUAUGAACAUUUGUUAUCAGUAGCAUUUCACAUGAUCUUUGCUGAGAAGAAUGCAGCUAC
rnacentral:lncRNA from 1 species